UGGGGUCGCGUCCUAUCAGCUUGUUGGCGGGGUGAUGGCCCACCAAGGCGUUGACGGGUAGCCGGCCUGAGAGGGUGACCGGCCACAUUGGGACUGAGAUACGGCCCAGACUCCUACGGGAGGCAGCAGUGGGGAAUAUUGCACAAUGGGCGCAAGCCUGAUGCAGCGACGCCGCGUGCGGGAUGGAGGCCUUCGGGUUGUAAACCGCUUUUGUUCAAGGGCAAGGCACGGUUUCGGCCGUGUUGAGUGGAUUGUUCGAAUAAGCACCGGCUAACUACGUGCCAGCAGCCGCGGUAAUACGUAGGGUGCGAGCGUUAUCCGGAAUUAUUGGGCGUAAAGGGCUCGUAGGCGGUUCGUCGCGUCCGGUGUGAAAGUCCAUCGCUUAACGGUGGAUCCGCGCCGGGUACGGGCGGGCUUGAGUGCGGUAGGGGAGACUGGAAUUCCCGGUGUAACGGUGGAAUGUGUAGAUAUCGGGAAGAACACCAAUCACUAGUG
rnacentral:rRNA from 1 species